GACAGAGGGUGCAAACGUUGCUCGGAAUUACUGGGCGUAAAGCGUGCGCAGGCGGUUAUGUAAGACAGGUGUGAAAUCCCCGGGCUUAACCUGGGAACUGCAUUUGUGACUGCAUAGCUAGAGUACGGUAGAGGGGGAUGGAAUUCCGCGUGUAGCAGUGAAAUGCGUAGAUAUGCGGAGGAACACCGAUGGCGAAGGCAAUCCCCUGGACCUGUACUGACGCUCAUGCACGAAAGCGUGGGGGGCAAACAGG
rnacentral:rRNA from 1 species